AGAUGCAUAAGAAGCUGGGAAGUAGCAUGGCCAGGACAGCUAACCUGAACUACUGAAAUGGAUGUUUUGUACCUCAGGACAUCAUGCUUUAUAUAUGGAGAUACCAGCUCUAUGGUUACCAGAUUCUACUAAGCUAUGGAAAAUAUACUGAUUCCAACCAGACAGAAAGAAGUUUGGAUAAAGUUAUUAGGUGCUCCAUCAAAAAACAGCACUUAAAAUUAUUUCUUCGUCACCAGCUCAGCUAGAAAUUUGAGAAUAGAAUCUGUUUGAAGAAUAAUCUCUGCCUUGGCAACAUAGCCUCAGGACAAGUCAGCCUGCCAUUACAGCAAAAACCUGUGACUUUCUGGGGCCAGUGCAGUGUUGUACUGAGUUUAUAUGCUAAAGUUUGGACACUAGGGAGCUGGCAUCUGUGAGAAGACAGCAGGAACUGACCCCAUGUUGGGCAGAUCCAGUGGCAGCCAGUAAUGUUAGCAGCACCACUGUGAGAAGGUAUUUUGAAAAGGGUGAAAAGCACUGUGCAUGAGCAGUUGGGAGAGAGGAGUGACAAAAUAUGUGAGAGAAACAAGCCUGCACAGAGCAAAGUCUUUGAUGGAGGAGUUAAGUGUUCCAGGUGCUGGAGCAGAAAUUCCCUUGCAACCUGCAGUGAAGACCAUGGUUACCCAGGUUGCUCCCCUGCAACCUAUACAAGACCAACACCAGAGCAGAUGGCUGUAUCCACAGGAGUCUGUGAACCUGUGGGAAGCCUUUGCUGGAACAGGCUUCUGGCAGAACCUCUGGAUGCAUAGAGAGAAGACCGGACAAAGGAGCAGGUUCACUGGCAGGAUGUGUGACCCUGUAGGGGGACCCAUGCUGGAGCAGUUCUUAACUGAAUCCCAAGGGAAAGAUGUAUGCUGGAGAAGUUGUGAAGGACUCUCUGCCAUGGGAGGGACCCCAAAUAAGAGCAGGAGAAGUGUGAGGAGGAGAAAAGGAUGCGGUAUUAUGAACUGAUCACAACCCACAUUGCCCAUCUCCCUGUGCCACUUGGGGUGGGUGUUAUGCUCAAGUAGAACAGUUGAGUCAAACUGAGCCUGGAUACAAAGGGAGAAGGGGGGGAAGGAGGAGGGAGAAAUGGGUUCCUUUUUUUUUUCAUUUCUCACUACCCUCCUCUGUAAUUAACUGACAAUAUAUGCAACUGAUAUCCCCCAGUCAAGUCUGUUUUGCCCAUCAUGGUAACUGCUGGGCAAUCUCCCUGUCCUCCUCUCAACUUAUGAUCUGUUGUGGUAUUCUCUUCUCCUGUUCUGCAGCGCAUGGGGAGCAAAAGAGCAGUUGGGUGAGCACCUAAUGGUCAGCCAAGUUCAACCUACCACAAUUGAUGUUUAUGUUUUGUUGAAUAAUGAAAAUGUACUUUCUGAAACACUAAUAUCUGAUUCCUACACCUCCAAAAAAAUGCAAUGCAGAAAACGGCUACAUAGACCUCAUUAGAAGAGAAUGGGGGGGAGGAAGAAAAAGGAGGAAAAAAAACAAGUUAAUAAAGUAGGGUUUUAUCUUUUUUUUUCAUCCUACAUAGGCAAAGCUGGCUCCAAAUGCAAGACAGUGAAAAUACAUUGCUGGUGACAGUGUUUAAGGCAGUAAUCCAAAGUUUGGAGAUAAAACUUUAUUAUACAGCCAUUUGAAACAGUGAAUUAAUCUGCCUCCUGCACAGAGCAGAACAAAAUAGCUGCCCAAUCGUUCCAGAUCUGGAGAUCUUCCAGCAGGAGCUUCACCACUCAGCAGAGAGGCCAUUGCCAGAGGGCUAUCCAGCUUGCAGGCUGCUGUUAAAGAACCUUUGUCAGGGAUGAGCAGGUAAACCUCCUACUCUACUAAGACACUGAGUAGUACAGCAAAGGCCUCCCCUACGGCAUCACUGGGUAACAAAACCCAAUGAUGUGGUGUCUGUGACCAGCUGAGACAACAGCAAUCCCUUUUAAAAACCGAGACUUAAGGAAAAAAAACAGAACAAACUGCACAACAAAAGUAAACUUUUUCACCCUUCAGCCACUCUAAUGAAUUAUGCAAUAUCUACUUUUUCCAAUUGCAAAGGCAUCUUAAAGAAAAGCUUUAAAAGUCAAGAGUUUAAUUUACAAAUUACAUCAUCAAGGACUGUGCAGAUAUUUUAGUCUAAAUCUUGAUGAAAAUUAAUUAAUUUUAGAUAUAAAAUUCCAUAAACUUAAUUCUCCCCAAAUGCUUACACAUAGCCUAUGAAAAGCUAUGAUUAUGGACAACUCUUGCCUCAAAUCACAGUUCUGUUGGCAAAACUGCCAGCCACUUUUUUAUCACCAGGGCUUGAGUCUCUUGUUUAAAGCUCUUUGAAUUACUGGUCUGAUUUCUUCUAUGGAACACAUCUACUGCCAAACUGUUUUAAUUAUCCACAUAUUUCACUGGGAAAUAGAAAGAAAUGCCUACAUAUUUCCAGAUGGGAUUGAAAUUCUCUGCAAACUUGACCUUGUUGUAAUAUGACCUUACUUGCUUUCAAUACCUUUGCUGCCUAUCUUGGUAUAAACAUCCCACUACAUAAAGCCAGAUUUAGCUCCCAAAAGAUAAGCAAAAUUAUUCCUGUAAAUAGGAUCUGUAUAUUUUAUAUGUUAAAAUCACUUAGGAUUUAAAUUACAUCUCUUGUUCAGUGCUUUUCCCAAGGAAUACCUAGAACUAAAUUCCUGCCAAGGAAACCAGAACUAAUUUUAAAGUGCAGGCCACUUUGUCCCUCUUAGCCUGAUUAAUUUUUGGGGUCAUUUUCAUGUUAUCAUUGCAUCAUAAUUAAUAUAUACCACAGCAUAUGUGAGAAAAUCCCCUUACAAUGAAAUGUUGGCUGCAUAAAUUGUAAAGCAAUAUUGUAUUUCUCUGGUUUUCAAACACUUUUAACAGUUAAUGUGUUAUAUACGUAGCAUUUUUAGUAUCCUUUCUCAUUUUAUAUGAUUUUUAAAGGAUGAUGUUGGUAUUUAAAUAUAUUGGUGGAACCAAGUGCUUAAUGCAUAUGUACACCAUAGUUGCUGGGGAAAUAUAUUGUACUAGAGUCCAUGAUAUGACUGUCACAAAUGUAAUACUUGCCCAAUUGCACUCUUGGUAGCUAAAAUUUCUGUUUGUCCCUGCUCUGGAAUACGCCAAAUUCCUUUCCCCUCCCCCUGUUUUUUUUACAGGAAGAUGUAACAUGAAAGCUCUAGAAAUCAAACCUGAUCAGAGAGAAAAGCAAGCAGUACUUUAUGUACCAUUUAGUAUUACAGAUUAAAUUGUAUGGGCUGA